GGCAGGGUGGCCGAGUGGCGACGUAGCCGACUUAUAAUCGGCGAUCCGGGUGGCCCUUCACAGCACUAACCCGGCGCGGGUUCGAUCCCCGCCCCUGCCG
rnacentral:tRNA from 1 species